GUUGCCAUUAAAGAGAAGAUUUGCAUCACAUUAUUAAAAUAACGUUGCUGAGAAUUAUGUGACCUCUAUUCAUGCCUCAUGGCCAUAAAUGAUUUAUGGUGAGCCCACCUCCAUCCUUCUCCCUGUACUGCCUCAUCUGAGCUGACAUUUCCUUGUGAAUAUUUAAGGUGAUGUCUGCUCUCAUCUCUUGUUCAGAAUCAAAAACAAGGGGAAGUGGAUAUGCAGCACCCAGGUGGUGAAGGGACACAGAACUGGGCAGUCUGUAAAAAGGUGAUACUGAAAAUGCUGCUUUGGGCUGUGGGUUGAAUUGAAUUCUCAUCAAUAGUCCUUUGGAACUUGCCUAAAAUGUGAUGCAAAUAUUGCAGUCCUGUUACAGCCUCUCCUUAUUUCAGUGCAGGAAUGUUGGCUGGAGCAGGAGCUAAGUGUGGUGAUGGCACCAAAUAUGAAGGGCACGGGAAUGGCUCAGCCUCUGGUGAGAGAUUCACCACCCCAGAGCAACAGCUGGACCUUGCAGAGACCUUCCCUCAGUGCCAGGGAGGGCAGCUCUGCAGCUGGGGCAGUGGCACAGCCGUGUCUGUCUGUCUGUCUGCAUGUUAGCCAAGUCAGAGCUGGUUCCUUCCCCUGUGCACUCACCUGGUGUGACAGCACUGGUAGCAAAACACAUUUCAAGGCACUUCUGAAUGGGGACACCAACCAGGGACGCACCUGCAAGAAGCAGCACAGAUGUGACAGUGUCACUGCAGGACAAUGGGAGCUCACUCGUUUCACUGCUGGUUCAGCUCUGGAAGUGUUAAAGACCUUGACCUUUUCUUCUUUAAACAGUGUCCUGGAUACUGGGUUUUAACACAGCUUACUUCAUGUAAAAUAUGCCCUUUUUAAAAAACAAAUUCUGACUAAAAUAUUAUUAAACGCUUUUCCCAAAUGCUUGUUCUUUUUCACUCCCUCCAAGUAUUCAGUUCUCAUAUAUUACAGCCAGCACCUUACUGCAUAUAAAAUUCCAUCAUUGAAUUUGAAGUGAAAUCAGAAGAGCAUAAAUUGCUCAGAGCCUUGGGAGGCCCCAGCCCCAUCUAGAGCAGAAAUGUAUUCAAAGAUUCAGCCGCUGGAUCAAUCCCAUGGCUCAGCAGAAGGAUCCAAGCUUCAGAUUGGAAAGGUUUGGAAUAUCCAGGUCAGUGAGCCCAGAAAUCCUUGUGGUCAGCAGUGAGAUCUCCUCACAGGUUUUUUGCUGCAGGGUUUUUCUGCAGUCCCCUCCCUGCAGUAGGUGCAGUGUCCAGUGUGUAGUUGUCCCACUGCAGACCAAAAUUACAAGGAAUGAGUGAAUUACUGGGCCAACACUUUUAGAGCUGAGAAAAUGGAUGACUGCAAAGCAGAUUUCUUUUUCUUGCAACAUUUUGGCAGAAUUCUUAGCACAGAAAAAGCAUCAUUCCUAAAAGUGAUCAGAAGGAGCAACUGCUAUCCAUCACUUGUCCUUCAUGGUUAGCACAAUAUUUUUGGGCUUCAUCACAGAGUGGCAACCUCUCUUGGCACUGCAGAUGUUGUUUAGAUCUUCUCCCUGGUGCCCGUAACACAUGGAACUGGAGAACCAGCACUUCCAAAUGUUCACGUAUUAGAGAUGUAAUACAGAGGAACAGCAAAUGUUAAUGUGAGGGAGCCCUGAGUGGAUCCCUAUUCCUUUGGGGAGUUUCCAAAGACUUUCUCUACCCUUCAGUGUUUUUCCUUGCUGGGUGAUGAUGUCUCAGCUUUGUGCUGUUCUCUAGAAGAAGGAAGGAGACACUGACAUCAGAAAAAGCAGGGAACAGGUUUGUAGCUUCAUCUGCUUUAGCAGCUCCAAAUAUCACCAGGAGAAA
rnacentral:lncRNA from 1 species